UACGGAAGGCAGCAGUGGGGAAUAUUGCACAAUGGGCGCAAGCCUGAUGCAGCCAUGCCGCGUGUAUGAAGAAGGCCUUCGGGUUGUAAAGUACUUUCAGUCGUGAGGAAGGUGUUAAGGUUAAUAACCUUAGCAAUUGACGUUAGCGACAGAAGAAGCACCGGCUAACUCCGUGCCAGCAGCCGCGGUAAUACGGAGGGUGCGAGCGUUAAUCGGAAUUACUGGGCGUAAAGGGCACGCAGGCGGUUAAUUAAGUUGGAUGUGAAAUCCCCGGGCUUAACCUGGGAAUGGCAUUCAAGACUGGUUAGCUAGAGUCUUGUAGAGGGGGUAGAAUUCCAUGUGUAGCGGUGAAAUGCGUAGAGAUGUGGAGGAAUACCGGUGGCGAAGGCGGCCCCUGGGACAAAGGCUGACGCUCAUGUGCGAAAGCGUGGGGAGCAAACGAGGGAUUAGA
rnacentral:rRNA from 1 species